rnacentral:misc_RNA from 1 species
GAUGAAGAACGUAGCGAAAUGCGAUAAGUAAUGCGAAUUGCAGAAUUCAGUGAAUCAUCGAAUCUUUGAACGCACAUUGCGCCCCCCAGUACUCUGGGAGGCACGCCUGUCUGAGCGUCAUUACAACCCUCAGGCCCCCGGGCCUGGCGUUGGGGAUCGGCGGAGCCCCCCGUGGGCACACGCCGUCCCCCAAAUGCAGUGGCGGUCCCGCCGCAGCUUCCAUCGCGUAGUAGCUAACACCUCGCGACUGGAGAGCGGCGCGGCCACGCCGUAAAACACCCAACUCUUCUGAAGUUGACCUCGAAUCAGGUAGGAAUACCCGCUGAACUUAAGCAUAUCAAUAAGCGGAGGA